UACGUAGGGUGCGAGCGUUGUCCGGAAUUAUUGGGCGUAAAGAGCUCGUAGGCGGUGUGUCACGUCGGCCGUGAAAACCUGCAGCUUAACUGUGGGCGUGCGGUCGAUACGGGCAUCACUGGAGUUCGGCAGGGGAGACUGGAAUUCCUGGUGUAGCGGUGAAAUGCGCAGAUAUCAGGAGGAACACCGGUGGCGAAGGCGGCUCUCUGGACCGAUACUGACGCUGAGGCGCGAAAGCGUGGGGAGCAAACAGG
rnacentral:rRNA from 1 species